rnacentral:rRNA from 1 species
UGGGGAAUUUUGGACAAUGGGCGAAAGCCUGAUCCAGCAAUGCCGCGUGUGUGAAGAAGGCCUUCGGGUUGUAAAGCACUUUUGUCCGGAAAGAAAUCCUUGGCUCUAAUACAGUCGGGGGAUGACGGUACCGGAAGAAUAAGCACCGGCUAACUACGUGCCAGCAGCCGCGGUAAUACGUAGGGUGCAAGCGUUAAUCGGAAUUACUGGGCGUAAAGCGUGCGCAGGCGGUUUGCUAAGACCGAUGUGAAAUCCCCGGGCUCAACCUGGGAACUGCAUUGGUGACUGGCAGGCUAGAGUAUGGCAGAGGGGGGUAGAAUUCCACGUGUAGCAGUGAAAUGCGUAGAGAUGUGGAGGAAUACCGAUGGCGAAGGCAGCCCCCUGGGCCAAUACUGACGCUCAUGCACGAAAGCGUGGGGAGCAAAACAGGAUUAGAUACCCUGGUAGUCCACGCCCUAAAACGAUGUCAACUAGUUGUUGGGGAUUCAUUUCCUUAGUAACGUAGCUAACGCGUGAAGUUGACCGCCUGGGGAGUACGGUCGCAAGAUUAAAACUUAAAUGAAUUGACGGGGUCAUAGCUG